GCCAGAUACAGUUGGCCUUGAGGAAACUUUGUUACAAACAGGCUUUUUAGAAAUCAAUUAACUCUUGCCAUUGCCCUGGGCCAUUGUUUUAAUGCAUGUUUAUUUUACCUACAAGCCAGUUCCCAAAAGACAACCUCUAAAUACUAUUUUUCUAUCCAUCAGAACUACUCCUGAACUGUGAGUUGACCAUAGCAGAUACCACCAUUGAGUCCAUCCCCACAACACCCUUAAAGGAGAUCCCUCACCAACCUUCCUAUCCCAGAAGUCUGGUAUGCCAUCUAGGAAACCAAGAACUGGAUGGCAUACCUGCUGAAAUCUACAAGACUGGCAGUGAGAUAAUAGUACCGAGACUAUGAAUUUAUUCUAUGAUUUUGUAACAGUGAAGUGAUCCUGGAGGACCUGAGGAGUGCCAACAUUGUGACUAUCUUCAAGAAAGGAGGUAAGUCUGUGUAUGGGAACUAUUGAGGUUUCACCCUACUUUCUACAGAAGGGAAAAUUGUUGUGCACAUACUCUUGAACCAUCUUCUACCUCUUGCUGAGGAAGUCCUGCCAGAAUCUCAGUUUGGUUUCAUUCUAUUCUGUGGGGAAACUGACAUUAAACUUUGUUGCCUGCCAGGUCCAAGAAAAGUGUCAAGAACAACAUCAGGACCUGUAUAUGGCCUUCAUUCAUCUCACUAAGGCCUUUGAUUCCUGUCGGGUUAUAGAAUCUUUUUAUUGAUUGAUUGAUAUACCAGCCUCCCCGGAAAAGGCCAACUGUGGCUAAUACAAAUAAGGAUCCCAUUCUGUGACAUCUUGUGGCAUGUAUGGUUAGAGAAAGGCCUACCACAACAGUAACAGAAGACCAAAAGGUACUGAAAAACAGUCUGCAGGCCAUCCUAGACAGUGGGGACACAGACGCCUAUUUGAUGCUGACAGUGAUGGUUUUGCAGUGAUCAAGUAAAGAAGAAUCUGGCUUUACUCAAGAAGGACAGUCCACUCUGGAGGCCCUGCCCCUUUUUGAAGAGUCAAAGAUGGUCUUUAUUUUUUUGGUGUAUCUACACCUAAGGAGUUAAGCAGACAGAGAUUGUAUGUUGCUCGAUGACUGGCCUUACACCUUUUUUUCUAUUAAAAAACUAAAUUACUUAAGAAAAAGCAUCAUUUUCACAGGCAAGGCAAUCUGACUCACAGUCCCAGUUAUGGUUAUAGUCAUAAUUUCCCACUUCCCCCUGAAAAGAGGGAGUAGUUCAUAUCUGUUAAUCUUCAGGAUACUCAGUUUUAUGUAUCUAAUAUAAAACCACAAAUAGAGUACCUGAAACUUGUAGUUUGUCAAAAUCACCAUCAGUACAAGGCCUUACCCAUCAGACUGUUGACUCCUCUACAACGGUGCCUGUGGAUCAAAAUAAUUGCACUACACUUGGGAAGAAACCAAGGUUUUGGAUUACCCUUUUGUGGAUGAUGGCUAGAGGGAAAGUCUUCUCUGUAAGUUCCCAAGGCCAUCUGAUAAUAGUCAAGACUUCAACCUUAAAGACAUGAUCUCGUAACUGAACUUCACUUUAAGUUCAUUGGGGUCAUCCUAGGGCAAAGUUGAACUAAUGAGACAGGAAGAAUGGGUCUCCCUAGGAUUAUUACAACACAUGCCAGCACAGUUCAGGUGUCCUUGUCAG
ensembl:lncRNA